UCUUUGUCAUCUGAAACAAGGAAGUCUACAUUUCCUGUGUCUGUAUCAGUUGAUUCUUGGUCCAUUUCACUGUCACAGGAACUUUGGCUUACAUGGCCACAUCAAAGUUGCCAUCAUCAUCAUCAUCAUCAUCAUCAUCAUCAUCAUCAUCAUCAUCAUCAUCAUCAUCCACUCACACUACUCUGCUGUUAUGAAAACAUGUAUUUUACCAUACUGGAUCAUCUCCUUCAUCCACACAUGAGUAAUCUGAUGAUUCAUUUUUUAUCUCACCCAAAACUUGCAAAUCUGGUUUUUCAUGGUGCCAUUGCACUGAAUUGGGCUAUUUCUACCAGAAAAAUUGAAAGAGAACUUUUAAUAAACAAAUCCUAGAGUGAUGUGAGUAUAUUAUACCCUCUGUGAUGCUCAGGUAAGCAUAUGCAAAGCCUGUUAGAUGGAGCAUCAUGUGGGUGAAAAUCUUGGUUUGAAACUUUUGAACAUGUGCACACACCUUGCCAUUCACCAUACCAAGUGGGUAAACAUAAAGGUUGCCUCCUGUAUCCCUCAGGGAAAGAUAUUGAGACAUGCAACCAGCUACUGUUAUGCUAAAGUAAAAAUUUACAGUAGAAAAGGGAUGAAAAAAAAAAGUACAGGAUGUGUUUGUUAAACCCAGUGUUAUGCUCACAGGAGUUUACUGUGAAACCCAAACUUGAGCUUACAAAUGAAAAUCAGUUCAGCAAAGGGAAAGACACACUUUAGGAGCAUAAUCAAGUAUGAGUGACUGAACUGCUAACUGCGCAUCUGCUUGAUCAGUAACAAAGAGAAAAACACAGUGACUGCCAUAAAAUCACUGGUGCACAGAGUCGGCUAUGAAAAAAACCAAAUGCCAAAGUUCACAGAUGACCACACCCAGCUUUCAGGAGACAAAACAUUCUUCCCCCAACCAUCUCCUCCUGUUGUACUGAGUUUCUCCAAGAAGGACUUUUUGGGGCAUAAGUACAAUAAAUUUCAGGGGAGAGGGGGCCAGCUAAGAUCCUUCUAUGAUAUAACGAUAUAACUUCUGGUGCCAGUGCUGAUGCAUGCAAUGACUGUCAUAAUUAACACUGGGCAGUGAUGAGCUGUCUCCUGCCAGUGUGCUGUACGGAAAGAAACCAGGCCUCAUGCCCCACCUGCUUCUGGGGCUGGUGAGCCACGAGUCGGUCUGCAGACUUCUGCUUUGGAGGAGCAGAGCAUACAUUCACACCAGCGGUAGACAUAACCAAGACCUCUAUCUGGCUACAGAGGACCCGUGUGUAAAAAGCCAUGGGGCCUGACUGUGCUUUGUCCUGAGGGCCACCGUGUCCCGGCACGAAGUGCUUACAGGCAGAGCUGACUUAGGCGGGGCAGGGUGGGGGAUCACUCGAUCAGUACCUAUGGGACCAGGCACACCAGGCUCCCCACCUCAGUGUCCUCAUGGAGACGCCGGGAUAAUGGGAUCCACUUGACAAGGCUGGAGAGCAUCGGAGAUGAGCAGAGCCUGAGGCAAGGACUGAGUGUAAUUAAUUUGAGAGGAAAUUCUACGAUGCAGGAGAGAGAACUGGAGGGAAAAAGAGCCCUUGGAAGACACCACUGAGGUCACUGCAUAGACAGCAGGGUACCAACUCUGCCACCAUCUGUGAGAAGUACUUGGUGCUGAAUAGUGUGGUGCAUGCCUGUAAUUCCAGCACUCGAGGUUGAGGGGAGGCUGAGGCAGGAGGAUCUCGGGGAGUUCUCAAAACAAAACAAAAACAACAACAAAAGAAGCACUUGGAAGUCUCCCAGGAUUGUCCAUCUGAACACCAAGAGGCUGGAGGCUUAUUCAGCUGGUGACUGGCUGUGCCAUGUGACUGACACAGAGUACCUGGGGUGUAAGGUAAGCCUGACUUUGCAAGAAUCUCUCCACCAGCAUCACAACCCAAACCAGAGACCAGCAGGGUGCAUGUACACAAGGACAAAGGCAUUUGCCUGCAGAAAUACCAAGAAGGACAAGUGAGAAAAGGCUUUCCCAAGAAACAGGGAGGUUACACUUCUCUUAAUCUCCAAAUAGCUUGGGGAUCACCUUUCUCUAAAGCAGAUAUAAGAAUAGAUCAAAGAUAGGGGAAAUAAAAUCUUUACAUAUUGCUCGUUGUGCAUUUAAUAUGAAUCUAAAUAGAUUUUACCUCUGCAAAGUGGUUAAAUGCAUUAUAACAGCAAAAAACCCCACAACAAAACCUGGUAACAAUCCAACUGUUCAAUAAUAUUUGAAGGGUUAAUUCAUGAAUCUAUAAAAUAUGAUUAUUAUGCAUCAAUUAAAAUUGUUUUCAAAGGGCUGGGGAAGGAGC